CGGCGCGGCUCCGGUGCGGGCCCGGCGCCGCACGGCACCCGAGUCGGGCCGGCACCGAUGCUCUGGAGACUCUCUAAGGUCUCUAUACAGCUGUGCCUUGCCGGGAGGCUCUUCGAGAGCAACGCGCCCGCGAAGUUUUCGCGGGGAGACCGGGUGCAGAGUGUCUGCGAAUCCCCAGAACUCGGGCUCUGCUGUGUAAAGGGGAUUAAGCGGGGAGGGACUCGGCAUCUUGUGGAAUGGAAGUGCCUUCCCGGGAACAUUGGCCAAGUCCUGGAGAAAGAGAAGUGUGGCUUUUACCGUGGGUGAAGUUCUGCCGCAACGCGGGUGGCGGGAACCCGGGGCGAGCUUGCCCCCUUCAGCACGUUCACCGACGCCCUGCUGGUCGAAGGUCACUUAGGGAUUUGGGGGAACGACUUGAGGGAUGAGUGGAAGAAGAGGCGUGUUCUAUUUACAAAAUAAUUAAAAAUUUUCUCCCGUCUACCAUGCCCUUGAAUAACAUCAGUUAUAUACUUCGCCCCUUCAAUUUAUAGCUAUUGGGAAAUGCCAUAGGGAAUGUGGAUCAGUGUGAAGAUUAUUAAGGAGGCAAGGAGACAAAUCCCAAAAUACUGUGUACCCUGUUAUCCCAUUUUUAAAAGUUAUCAUGUAUGGAAGGAGGCAGAAAAGACUGGGCAAAUAAUACCAAUGCUUUCACUGGGUCUCUUGGUGAUUGGUGGGAUUGUGGAUGGGUUUUCUUUUUCUGCUUAAUUCUAAUUUUUCUGUAAAGGAGACAUUAGUGUUGUAAUUUCAGGGGAAAAAAUAAAGUAAGAAAUAGUUUGGUGCUUUUCCCCUCACCCCAGUACAGAAUGGCCAGGGUAGACCCCUCUUUCCAAAGAAUAGGUAGCAAAUCUCUUUAGUUACUCAAACUCUUUAGUUACUGCAACUUUUCAUUGUUUCUUAGAGCAUGAAACAGCUGUCACUGUAAACUCAAGAGUGUGUUGAUUUUGUAAAUUGAAACUGUCUCGGAGAAGCCCACUGGGACAUUGGAUAAGACUGGACAUUCUGUAAGAACAAGUGCAUGUUCUUAUCAAGACUGACAAACCUGAUUGUAUGACUUAAGAGAUCUUUAUAACCUUAGAGUACGACUUUGUAACUUAUUCUCUUUGCAGAGAAUAAACCUUACAAAUCAAAAACACAAUCAGAACCAAUCAGUGGCCACUUGAGGAAGUCCUAAAAGUUGCAGAGCACAGACUGUUUCUAAUUGCACAGGUAAAAUGCUUCUGUUCACCCCUUUUUAAACAUUCAUCAGCCUAACACAAUAACUAGUGGUGGCAGCAAGUCACAUCAGGGAGUGGUUAAAAAAAAUGUUUCAGUAUGAGCCUGGUAAUAAGCUCAUUAAUGCCAUUUAAGUUAUCCCUUCAUUCACUGACAAAUAGUAACCAUAUUUUUAUAGCUCUAGUGCCAGGAUUACAUAAGACAUGUAUCAAAAAAGAAGAAAAGUCCAUUGCAUCUGAUGUCAUUUUCUCCUCUCCCCAGUUCAUGGGGUGUAAUGGCUACCCAUAAAGCAUAUCAAAAUCAGUUUGUUCCCCCUACACCCUGUUGGAUUUCAAGCUUUCCCAUCAUUUAUUCCAUCUUCCUUGAAGUAAACCCACAUUUUUCCACUACUCAACAUUGAGAUGCCAGCCAAUUAUAAGAUAAGCCCCAUGAGAGUAAGGAUCUUGUCUUCAUUUCUAU
rnacentral:lncRNA from 1 species